UCCCUGGUGGUCCAGUGGCUAAGACUCCGCACUCCCAAUGCAGGGGCCCGGGUUCGAUCCCUGGCCAGGGAA